rnacentral:snRNA from 1 species
AUGCUUCACCAGCACAUAUAGUAAAAUUAGAACAACACAGAUUAAUAUGGCCCCUGCAUGAGGAUAACUCAAAGAUUUGUGAAGUGUUACAUUCUUUA